GCCCAGAAAUCAGAUGUUUAAUGCUGAGACAGAUUUCCAACAGUUUUGAUCUGGCUCUAUGUACCUGCUUUUUUUCUCUCAAAGAGAAUAUUUUGAAUGUGCGACUUGUUUGGCUGAGAGGAGAUCACAAGGCUCCAAGAACAAUACAAAGACAAGUGUUAAGAGAUGGCAAAAAGGGGGCAUUGGGAAUGCUCCCCUUGGGCAUGGGAACCAAAUGCCUUUGUAGUGCCUAUGAGAUUCUCUAAACAUGCGCAUCCUUCGAUAAAGAAGCAUAGCACUUAUAUCUGUGCUUUGGCUUGGAAAGGGUUCAUGUCUUUUUUCCAAAGGGUGGUGGUUCCAAGUUCCAACAUCUACACAAACUUCCAAAGUCCCAAUCAGCAAGGAGAUUUCUUUACCACAAAGCAGCAGCUCUGGAGUGGAGACCACAUGGUCCAGGAGGAGGAAGGAGCUUGGCUGGUAAAGUUAAAGAUAGCUAAAAGGUAAAGCUAAUGGUGCAAGGCCAAAAGAUGGAGAUGCAAAAUAAUGGUUUGUUUUGGUGGAUGAACUCAAAUAAUGAUUGAGGAUAUGUUAUUUUAAUUAUGUCAGCCGACCAUGGAUGUGGACAGCAAAACCUUGAUUCACCAAUAAUAGUUGUUUAGCGGUGUGCUUUGUAUGCAAAUGUGGGAUAAAAAUAGUUGGAAAAGUCUUGGAAAAACUUGCGAAAACACUGGAAUUGAACCUUGAUGGUUAAACCAUAUUGAUUAUGAAGUGCCAUGAAUAGGAA